GAUCUUCGGAACGGGUUAGUGGCGCACGGGUGAGUAACACGUAGGUGACCUACCCCAGAGUGGGGGAUAACUUCUCGAAAGAGAGGCUAAUACCGCAUACACUCGGUCAUUCAUCUGGCCGAGCAAAGCUCCGGCGCUUUGGGACGGGCCUGCGUCCGAUUAGCUAGUUGGUAGGGUAAUGGCUUACCAAGGCUUUGAUCGGUAGCUGGUCUGAGAGGACGAUCAGCCACACUGGCACUGACACACGGGCCAGACUCCUACGGGAGGCAGCAGUGAGGAAUAUUGGGCAAUGGGCGAAAGCCUGACCCAGCAACGCCGCGUGAGGGAUGAAGGCCUUCGGGUUGUAAACCUCUUUUCUGGGAGAAGAGACAAGGACGGUAUCCCAGGAAUAAGUCUCGGCUAACUACGUGCCAGCAGCCGCGGUAAUACGUAGGAGGCAAGCGUUAUCCGGAUUCACUGGGCGUAAAGCGCACGCAGGCGGUUAUGUAAGUCGGACGUGAAAGCUCCUGGCUCAACUGGGAGAGGUCGUUCGAUACUGCAUAGCUUGAGGUUGGGAGAGGGAAGCGGAAUUCCCGGUGUAGUGGUGGAAUGCGUAGAUAUCGGGAGGAACACCAGUGGCGAAAGCGGCUUCCUGGCCCAUACCUGACGCUCAGGUGCGAAAGCGUGGGGAGCGAACGGGAUUAGAUACUCCGGUAGUCCACGCUGUAAACGAUGCGAACUAGGUGUUGGUAGUAUUAAUCCUAUCAGUGCCGUAGCUAACGCGAUAAGUUCGCCGCCUGGGGACUACGGCCGCAAGGCUAAAACUCAAAGGAAUUGACGGGGGCCCGCACAAGCAGCGG
rnacentral:rRNA from 1 species